AUGGGAACGCGAAGAACCUUACCUACUCUUGACAUCCAGAGAACUUAGCAGAGAUGCUUUGGUGCCUUCGGGAACUCUGAGACAGGUGCUGCAUGGCUGUCGUCAGCUCGCGUUGUGAAAUGUUGGGUUAAGUCCCGCAACGAGCGCAACCCUUAUCCUUUGUUGCCAGCGGUUAGGCCGGGAACUCAAAGGAGACUGCCAGUGAUAAACUGGAGGAAGGUGGGGAUGACGUCAAGUCAUCAUGGCCCUUACGAGUAGGGCUACACACGUGCUACAAUGGCGCAUACAAAGAGAAGCGACCUCGCGAGAGCAAGCGGACCUCAUAAAGUGCGUCGUAGUCCGGAUUGGAGUCUGCAACUCGACUCCAUGAAGUCGGAAUCGCUAGUAAUCGUAGAUCAGAAUGCUACGGUGAAUACGUUCCCGGGUCUUGUACACACCG
rnacentral:rRNA from 1 species